rnacentral:rRNA from 1 species
GAGGAAUAUUGGUCAAUGGGCGAGAGCCUGAACCAGCCAAGUCGCGUGAAGGAUGAAGGUUUUAUGAAUUGUAAACUUCUUUUGCAGGGGAAUAAAGUUCACCACGUGUGGUGUUUUGUAUGUACUCUGCGAAUAAGGAUCGGCUAACUCCGUGCCAGCAGCCGCGGUAAUACGGAGGAUCCAAGCGUUAUCCGGAUUUAUUGGGUUUAAAGGGUGCGCAGGCGGACUGAUAAGUCAGAGGUGAAAGUUUGCAGCUUAACUGUAAAAUUGCCGUUGAAACUGUGAGUCUUGAGUGCAAAUGAGGUAAGCGGAAUGUGUUGUGUAGCGGCGAAAUGCUUAGAUAUAACACAGAACACCAAUUGCGAAGGCAGCUUACUGGGAUGCAACUGACGCUGAGGCACGAAAGCGUGGGGAUCAAAC